GUAAUAUUGUACAUACCUAGGCUAUGGCCUGCUUUUGCCACUUAAGACGUUUCCCAUGUCUUUACAAGUUUUCAUAAAACAGAAUUCAAAAAUGGCUAAGCAGCUAGACUACUGUGAGUAAAGUAUACUGAUUGAGAUAGGUGAAUCAAGAAAAAUAUCAGCUUAAAAAUUCUAUUCCAAGUUUGAAGUCUCCUAUAUGGUUACACAGAUGAAUCCUAUAAACAUUUGAGACUUCCCUGGCUGUAAAAAAAACUCUGAAGACUGCAAUGAUACCUUCAGCCCCAUUAUCGAAGAUCUGUUUCCAUCUUCCAACCUAAGCUCAUGGAUUUUCUACUUCCAAAGACUUGGGGAAAUAUUAAUAAAGGCAAAUCUCAGAGUGCACUGUCUACCAGUGAGUCUCCCA
rnacentral:lncRNA from 1 species